UACGUAGGUGGCAAGCGUCGUCCGGAAUUAUUGGGCGUAAAGCGCGCGCAGGCGGUCCCUUAAGUCUGAUGUGAAAGCCCACGGCUCAACCGUGGAGGGUCAUUGGAAACUGGGGGACUUGAGUGCAGAAGAGGAAAGUGGAAUUCCACGUGUAGCGGUGAAAUGCGUAGAGAUGUGGAGGAACACCAGUGGCGAAGGCGACUUUCUGGUCUGUAACUGACGCUGAGGCGCGAAAGCGUGGGGAGCAAACAGG
rnacentral:rRNA from 1 species